ACCUUCACCAAACCACGGAUCUGGGCUAAGCCAGGACCUGUGAUGUCACUGGGAGCAACUGUGGACCUCUGGUGUGCAUGGACUCUGGGGGCCCAGCAGUGCCAUCUGUUUAAAGAGGGAAUCUCGGUGCCCUGGAGGACACAGAUGUUCGAAACGCCCGUGAACACUGCCAUGUUCUCCAUCCCAUCCGUGACAGAGCACGAUGCAGGGCGAUAUCACUGUUCCUAUACCAAAUCUGCUGGAAAGUCAGAGCCCAGUGAGCCCUUGGAGCUGGUGGUAACAGCCUAGAACUCCAGCAAGUGUGACAGUGUGACUCCAUUUGACACACUGGCUCUGUCUCUCCUGGGAGUCUACAAUAAACCCAGCCUUUCAGCCUGGCCCAGUUCUUUAGUCACCCCAGGAGGAAACAUCACCCUCCAGUGUGACUCACCACUGGGAUAUGACAGGUACAUUCUGACUAAGGAAAGGGCAGCCAAGCGCUCCUGGACGCUGGACUCACAGUCAAGCCCCAGUGCUCAGGUCCAGGCCCUGUUCCAUGUGGGUCUGAUGACUAUUCCCCACAGGAGGAUAUUCAGAUGCUAUGGCUAUGGCAGGAGCCAACCCCAGGUGUGGUCAGAGCCCAGGGAACCCCUGGAGCUCCUGGUCCCAGGUGAAGGAGGCACAGCCUUUCCUUUCAUGACUGAGGAUCUGACUGAUCCCCAAGGUGUGGAGAU